GGUGAUUAUGAGUACGAAGAAAUUGAAAAUCGCGUUGUACAAUUUUACACAGAUUUAAACACAGAUGGUCGUUUUUUAAAUGUUGGAGAAAAUUUAUGGGGAUUACGUGAUUGGUAUUCGGUAGAUGAUAUUGAAGAGAAAAUCGCACCAACUAUUCAA
rnacentral:sRNA from 1 species